GGGUUGAAGCAACCCUGAGGAACAAGGUUGGCUUAGUGGCCGUCUGAUUUGUUGUGUAAUAGCAUUGACUUCCUAGGUGACUCAGCAAGGUUCUGUGCGUAAACGUCAACUCUGGGGAUGAUGAGCUCCAGCCCCAAGGCCUCUCAGGUCUGGAGGAUUCCCCACCCCAGGACCAAGGAAGGGGCUAUUUCUUCGAGGCUGACCUUGAGGUCGCUUUGCUGCCUGGACUCCUGGAGCUUUGAGCAAAUGCUUUGCCCCUAAAGUAGACAUCUUCCAGCUUGAUUUUGCCUCCCUGGAAAAAAAGAGAGCCUGCUGAAUGCGGUGGGUGAGUGAGAACAUGGACUUUGGAACCUGAGAAUUGGUUUAAGUGCUCGCUCUGGCAUUUACGAGUUAUGUAGCCUUGAGCAAGUGAUUGACCUGCAAAAUGAGGACAUUCUUCCUGAAGUCUUAGGAGACUGAAUUAAAGCGCAGUGAUGUAGGAAGUGUGCCUUGCACAGUGCUGGCAAUUGGUAGAACCUCAAUGAACGGUCGUAUGAUUAUUUUCAUCCUCUUGAGCAUUCCUGAACUAGCAAAACAGCCCCCCCUCCCAGCACUCUGUCCAAUUCCUAAUCCUUAUCCAAAUAUUGAUACAGUUGUGGCCCCUGUACAUCCAGAAUCACAACUGAAAAAUGGGUGGCAUGAUCUCCAUACGCAAAGUAAACUUGCACUGGGGGACUAGGCUGGGAGUAGGGGCGGAGCCACAUCAGAUCAGCUGGUUGAAUUCAAUCAACUUUUGAUUCCCUGCCCUCAUCUUUUGUAGAAGGAGUUGGAUGUCUUUCCCAUUUGACCUUAGAAUGUGUUAUUCUCCAUGUGCCCUUCCUUAGGCUCCUCAUUUACAGAUGGAUUCUGGGCUUGGAGAAGGUCCUGCCAUAGAAGGUGCUCAGUGGAUUCCUCCUAGAGGAAUGUCACGCGGGUGUUACGGGGGGAGCUCACCUGGCUCAGCCAGCCGGGAAGGCAGAAGUUUUGCAGUGUAACAGAGGUGCGGGGUGUGGUGCCAGCCAGCACAGAUACAGCACGAUGUCACCUCUGGAGAAGAUGGCCUCAAUAAGCAGCUGGUUCCCGGUGACCCGCCGUCCUCCCACACUGCCCACUGAUGUCAGAGACGCUGAGGACGCAGUGGUGGUAGCCUGUUUUGACAUCACUGCCAACAGCAUGCUCACAAGAGACCUGGAGAGAGAAAGUGAGCCCUACGCAGAGAAGAGAAUAUCCUUCCAGCCUUUUUUUCUGCGGAACUGGGCUUUGAGCCAGACUUGCCUGACCCCAAACCCUUUCGCCCUCCGUGAGUUUUGCAGAUGAGCCUCAAGUCUUUUUGCAACACCACUGGAUAUUUUUCCCCGAUAAACGUUGCUCCUUUCGCAGACAGCAAGAAGUUAGGACAGUUUCUGGGGCGCCCCCCACCCCCACCCUGACCCAAGUCACACGCACCGUGUCUUCUAUCUGCUUGCAAUCCAAGGCAGAAUUCCAGUAGCAAUUCCGUGCGGCAACACUUCAUCUCAACGCCCGUCCAUUAAGAAGGACGCUGUCCCCUCCCCCAACCCACCACGCACUGGACGGCCGCCUGCACCUUUAACAGUGCUUGGCACACGGUGGGCCCUCAAGAAGUGGGAGUUCACGGAGCAGUAACCAUGAUUCAGCACCCACUGGGCCCCAGGUGCAGCACUAGAUUCUCUGUGAAUAGAUUUUCUGACAGCAACCCUCAAAGGCAGCCACAGGUCCUACUUUACAGAUGAGGAAAUUAAGGUUUGGGGAGCACAGUAGACUUGUCCACACUCACAAAGCUGGUUAGCAGUGGCGCUUGCAUUUGAAUGGAAGUAGCCUGCCUCCAUAGCAGCUCCUGUGGUAUAAACCACCCUGGGGGUGUACGUGUGGGGGACGGCAGUAUUCAAGUUGCUUGUACCCAGUGCUGAGGGCGUCCAGAUCCAUGCAAGCAUCUUGUGGUCCAUGUGGGAGUGGAACUGGGAGGCAGGUUCCCCGGCAGGGAGGGGUUUGGAGAAGCUGUGAGGAGGAGUGAAUGAGAGAAAACAGGUCAGGGCGGUAGGUGGGGCACAUUGCAGGCUAGGUGACACGGGCUCAGCUGGGCCCCUUGGGUUUGGAAUGGGAGGGCGAUGAGGGAGGCGCCAUAUGCACAGGUCACGGCUGGGCUCAGCCCAACCCAAGCAGUUGUUGUUGUUGUUUUUUGAUGGACCAGCCAAACUUGUCCUAGCAGCUUCCUGGCUUUCUAAGGCCUCCCCUGCCUUGUUCCUAAGUUACGGGGCUAAGAAAAUAGAACAUGUCCACCUGGCCAGCUUCUUAGCUGGAGCCUCAAGAAGUUCUAGCACACAGAGAAGCAAAAGAGGAGAAAGGGAUAAUCUGUUCAUUAAGUCAUGGAAUAUUUAUUGAGUGCCUACUAUGUGCCAGGCGCCACUAUUGGUACUUGAGAUACAGCAGCAAACCAAAAAGAUUGACGCCUCUGCCCUCGGGUUGCUUCUCGUGGGGUAUGGGGAGACAGUCCAUAAUCACCGUAAGAGAUAAGUAAAUUAGAUCUUAAAGACAGUGAAAUAACGAUUAAGUGAAGCAGAAAAAGGGGGACCAGUAGUGUGUGUGACUGGGGCUGAGGUUGAUUCUGGCCGCAAUCCUAACACGGUGGUCAGGGCAAGUGAAGGAGUUAUCCAUGUAGUUCCAGAGGAAGAGUAUUCCAGGCAGAGGGAACAGCCAGGUCAAAGUGCAGAGGCAGGAAAGUGCAGGCUGUUGUGUUUGAGAGCAAGAGCUAGAGAGAAGGGGGUGGGGCAGGGAGGCAGGAAGAGAUGGGGAUUGGCAGGGUCCAGAGCAGAGAAUGGAGGCUAGCUCUGAGCACAGACGUGAUGCGAUCUGACUUCUAUGUGUAAAGGACACUCCCACUGCUGGGCAGGUAGAAGGUGGAAACAGAGACCACCUAGGGCCUGGUGGGACCCGAAGGUCACAGGGGAGGGCAACUUGGAGCAAGGGAGAUACCGUGGUGUUGGGGGAAGAGGUUGAUUUCGGGUAUAGAUGAGGGAAGAGCCAGUGGGAUCGCCUGCAGAUUGGAUUUGGGGACGGAAAGAAAGAGAGGAAGCAAAGAAAGCUUCCGGGUAUUUGACAAGAGAAGUUGCAGUUUCCAGGGGCUGAAACCGGGAAGGACAGAACGGAGCAGUUUCUUUCUCUUUCUUUCUUUCUUUCUUUCCUUUUCUUUCUUUCUUCUUCUUUCUUCUUUUUUUUAAUGUUUAUUUAUUUUUGAGAGAGAGAGAAAGCACAGGUGGGAGAGGGGCAGAGAUAGAGGGAGACACAGAAUCCCAAGCAGGCUCUGGGCUCUCAGCUGUCAGCAUAGAGCUCCAUGUGGGGCUCAAGCCAUGAGACUGUGACCUGAGCCAAAGUCUGAUGCUUAACGGACUGAGCCACCUAUGUGCCCCAUGGUGCAGGUUCCAGAGAGGCCUGGGGAGAACUGGAGUAGCCUCAGAUCUACUUCAUCUGAGAUGUCUGUCACUCCAGCUGGGCAUGUCGGGUAGGCAGGUAGACAAGAGAAAGGUCUGGACUAGAACUGUGUUUGAGGUGUCGUCCUUUAGACAGCGGCCAUGAGCCUGAAUGAGGUCAUGAAGAGUAUAAGUGCAGACAGAGAAAAGGAAAAGGGCUGGGCCUUGGGGACUCUGAGAAGCCCAGGAGAAGAGAAGGAGCAACCAGGAAGGCAAGAGGAGAGCCAGGAAGGCUGGUGUCCUUGAGGCCAGGUGAAGAGAGAGCUUUCGGGAGGAGGGAAGGUCCAGUUGUACAGGGUGGCGCUGAAUCCAGUCUUGCUGUCUUCGCAGGGCCCUGAGCUCCCAUUCCCCUCCCCUAUUCAAUGGGAGCUACAAUGUCCACUAGUGAGGGGUGCAGUGAAGAUGAAAUGAAAUCGUGUCCUGGAAGCAAAGGGCAUUUUGAAAGCUUUUAUCAAAUGGGAGUUUCUUUCUGGAGGAGAAUUCAACCAUACGAUGAUGAUAAGAGAAAUAAACUCAUAAUGACCAUAAUGCUGCUGCUGCUUAUUUGUGUCUCAGAAAAAAAUGUCUAAGGCAUUGCCCUUGUCAUCGGGCAGCAGAGCGGCAGUCGGGAGGACCCCCGCGGAACAACGGGCAACCAAUAGCGCCUGCUGGGCACAGGCUGGAAUUAAGAGACCGAAAGGCCAAGGGAGGGUUUCCCACGGUCUUGGACUUCACAGAGGGUGGGCCCUGGGAUGUGGAGAUUUGGGUGGGCGGAAGGGAAAAGAUGUCCACCUGAAGGGAAGGGUGUCCCGGAGGUACAGAGCAGGAACUGAUGGGGGCCCUCAGCACAGCACUGCACCCAGCUCCCCUUGGGCACGCAGCCACUGGGAAUGGCAUAAGCAACCCCAGUCCUGAUGUUGUAAGACCUGCCUCAGUGUCUUUGUGCCUGUCACCAGUUCUCAAAACCCCACAGUAGGAGCAGUGAGGCCAGGUGCCUGGGAGGUCCCACUGCUCUGGUGGCCAGUGGCACAUCCUGGCAUGGGAAGACCAGGGGCACCCUGCAGACACUUCAGGCACAGACAUUAUCACAGGUGCCAGUUUCUUGGUCCUCUGUCCUCUCCACUGGGCUUGGAAACCUUUCAGCUCCUCCCCUGCUAAGGCCUCCCUCAGGCUCAGAUAAGGAGCUAUUUUUGCUAUCCACCCCUCCCCCACCUGCCCCUCGGGUCCCCUGAGGCCUGAUCAGAGCUCUCAGAAGAGGAUUCCUGAAAGGCCCUGCACUUCAGGGGACCGGGAGGGGCCACCGGCUAUCCGUUUAGGAGAGGACGGUGUGGAAGCAAGUGACUCAGAGGAGCCAACAAGAUGGAGAGGGAGAAAGAGGAAGAAACAGGUGCAGGGGAGAGAAGGAGUGGGGGUGGGGGAGCAAAAUGGGACCCGCAGGGGCCUGGGCAGGGAUGAGGAGAAAGCGGAAGAGGGCUGGAGAGGAGAGACAAGGAGGGAGGCAGAGUGCAGGCCCCCAGCAGCACCCAGGCUGAGCCCGGGACUGAGAGAUCACUGCAUGUGUGGGUGGCUGAGGCCAGACGGCAAGCCGCCCAGAUGCCCAGAACAGAGGGUGUCCUCAGCCCUGCCCCUGAGCACGAGGCCCUCUGAUGCCCUCCCCUGGGCCCCCCGGGCUCACAAGCCCAGCAAAGUAUCAGGAGAUGGCAGGGGUCAUGCAGAGGCUUUCUGUCCCUCCCCAGCCUGCCCUUCGCGGGGCUGGGCCUCCCUAGCUCUGGAUCUUUAGGGGUAUUGAUGGGGUGCAACAAGCAAGAAGUUCUGGGCCGAGAGAGAGGGAGCAGAAGGGAUGCAGAGGUCUAGAAGAAGGGGAUGUAGAGGGAUUCUGAAAAAGUGCUAAUUUUGAAAAAAAAAUGAAAAUAGAGAUUUUUAAAACAUCGCGUCCCCUGCUAACUGGGGCUCCUAAGUACUAAACGAGGUUUACUACAGCAGCGUGUGUUUUGUGGGUUGGUCACAUUGUAGCUUAUCUGUGGAGCUGCUGACAGUAGAGGCGAUCAGGAGGGGUGAGGCGGUGAGUGUAUGAGAGUGUGCAGGAGGGUGUGUAUGUGAUGGUGAGUGUGUGAGGGUGAGGGUGAGUGUGCGUGCCUGUGACUCCUCGGACUAGCCGUAGCAGGGUCCCUCACGGGCCUGAGACAGGGUUAGACGUGUCUGGGUGGGGGGCUGUCCUACAGAAGUCUUGUUCCCCAGUCCCUGCGGCCGCUGAGGAGGACUCGCCCCGGGAAGGAGGUGGGUAACCGCACUCCCGACGUUAGGGGGAGAAGUGACCCGCAGCCCAUCAGGGGAGGGGACAGACAGCCCAGCCUGAUACUCUCCAAGCACUAGAAAGAGGACUGCAAAUAAAACGGAAAGAUGUUCCCUCAAAGACUCUGACCCCAUCCACCGUCGCCCCAGUCCAGGGCCCCUGACACCCCUGCUCCAAGCCGUUGGCAGCAGUGGCUGGUGGCGCCCAGUGGGGAGCACUGGGGAGGCGAAAACCCUGGUGGAAGCAUCUAGGGGUGGGGACAGGCAAUGGGGGUGUGAAGAGUUGGAGAGGUUUGAGGCCUUGUGAAAAGGAGGCACAGCAAAAAUAGAAGCCAGGGACGGUUUAUCGUGGUCCGUGUGCACGUAGCACGGAGACACUGGGGGAAAGUCAGGGACACGCAAACGGGAACAAUUAAACGCUAUCCAUUGUUUUCACUAGACUAACAUUUACUGAACACAUAUUUGUCUGUGCCAGGCGCCGGGACCACUAAAAUGAACGAAACACAGGCCUGCCCAGUCCUUCGGAAUUCACCACGCAGUGAGUAAGAUGAGCGUAAAAAUGUCGUCGUGUAUCAUUCUUAAGUAGUGAUGAUGAUGAUAAAAGCAGUAGCGUGCUGAGCACUAGCACGUCCCGGGCACUGAUGCAAGCAUUCUACACAUACUCGGUGUUAGGACCGAGGUACGAACGAGAUACAGAUACGGGAGGCGUCCAGAGCAGAGGCCUUUCUGCAGCCUGGGGCCCAGGGGUAGAAGUUCAUUGUCCCCACUCUUCACCUCAGUCCUGAGGAGAAGCUCCUCCAGGGGAGAGAACAGCAUUUUCCGCAGGGUUCUAGAAUGGGUCAAGGAGGGCAUCUGAAUUCCCAGCAGCCCUCACCCCCACCUCCGCCGAGACCCGCUGCUCUCCCUGCUGGCCAGUCUCUGACCUUCCUCCUGUGGGGCUGGCCGGGUCAGACUUGUCUAGACCAGAACACCCAUUACCCAAUCUCUCCAACCCAUCUCUUCAACUGACGCCCUCGGGGCCUUGUGGGGAGAGCAAACCUUGGGAGGACUGGGGAGGCCGCAGAGAUAGUGGCAGAUAGAGGCUUGAGGGUAGGGAUGGAGGGGCUGCGGGGCUGGUGUCCAAGGCUGGCGGGGCUGGACAGAGGACGAGCCAGCCAGCUCCCUGGUGCCCCACUCAAGAGCAGUCCCUUUGGGGAAGGCAGGGCUGGUAGCUCAGAGGUGGGUGGGGACAGCAGAGAGAAGUGGGAGGUGCUGGUAUUUGCAGGGCUCAGCGUAGGAGAACAAAUGUGUUCCCAGACGGUGGCCCACCCACCUUUUCUUCCCAUUUCUGGUUCCAUCCUGUAUCUUGGGGGGCCACCAGUAUCACCAGUGCCUAUGUAGACAGCCCCACCCGCACACUGACACAUCGCCAAACAGCAAUGGGCGUCCUUGGGCCCAGGGAAAGGUUGUCAAGUUUGGGACAUACUUGCAUUAAAACAGUAUUCCUUGUGUGUCUGAAAUUCAAAUGUAACUAGGCUCCCUGUAUUUUAUCGGGCAGUCUUAAUCAGGGGUGUCCCCACCAGCCAUGAGGUCGGCCCUCAGGAGGCCCAGGGUAGAAAUCCUCACAAGCCCUGCAAGCUGGCUCAGGGCCCAUUGGGCAGUGACUUUCGGGGUCCUCGUGCUAGAGUGUGGCUGGGGAACACAGGCUCUGGGUGGGUACUUCUUGGCCCUGUAGUCUUUUUUGGCCAUUGAAGAGUCAUGUCCGGGCCUCCUAAAGCUCAGGAGCUAGAACAGGGGCCCCUCUGCCUGCUUACUGGCUGUAUGGGAUGAGCCUCAACCCACCUUCAAGUGAGAGCUCACUUCAAGCAAGGGGCGUGCCAGGACCUUUACUGGCCUCCUCGGUUGGUGCCUUUACGUCUAGAUCCUCUAGAUAUUCCAAGUCCCCGGGAGGCAGUGACUUCCAACGUUGGGAGACCUAUGUGAUAGAUCCGCUGAAAGCCUGGGUAAAACACAGGUCACCCAGUUAUAUUUGAAUUUCACAUGAACAAUGUAAUAAUUUACUAUAAGUAUGUCCCGUUCAAUAUUUGGGACAGACUUAUACUAAAAAACGAUUUCUUGAUUAUCUGAAACUCAAAUUUAAUCCGGUGUUCGGGUUUUGAUUUCAUCUUUCUUUCUGGUAAAUCUGAGAGCUGGGACAUUGGAGUGCCACAGCUAGGAUCUGGCCCUAGCUUCUCUGCCUCUUGCCCGGUGAACCUCCCCAAGGGUCACUUUUCCUGUCCACCCCCCAGGGCUGAUGGAAAGAUAAAAUGAAUAAGUGCCUGGCAUAAGUGACAGUUGUUAUUGUUGUUCCUGGCCAAGGUCCCACCGCUAGAAGGCUGCGGGGCUGGUAGCUGCCCUCCGGCCUCCAGGCUCAGGUUCUCAGUCUUCUUGAGAACACUCCGCAGCCCGCUGCACGCUCCUCGGACCUGAGACCACCCUGCCUGCAAGGACCCAGGCAAGGGCGCCAAGAGAGGCUUGAGAAGGAAGCAUGCUCUGGUUGGGAGAUCUCAAAUUCCCUGAUGACUGGAGAGGAGUCGUUGGGGACAAAAGGGAAAGGGAGGAGCUGACAUUUAUUCUGGGCUCAGUGUAUGUCUGGCGUUUUGUAGUUUCUAAUUUAAUCCUCACAUUCCUGGUCAUUUCUCUUUUGCAACUAAAGAUGUAUUCAUAGGACCAGAGGAGACGGCCCCUGAUGCUACUCUGCUUGUACCCUGGUUCUUCCGGUGGAUGUCCCCUUCCCAGUGAGCCCUUCCCUGACCACCAUGCUUAAAAUGGAAACCCUCCCCCAUGGCUUGGAACUCUAUUCCCCUUCUCUCCUUCCUUCUUUUCCAAAGCACCCUCAUCAAAUACAGUAAAAUAUUGGUUUGCAAGCAUAAGUCGCUCCAGAAACAUGCUUGUAAUCCAAAGCACUUAUAUAUCAAAGGAAAUUUCAAGAAUCAUUGUUGUGAUCGCAUACUACUCAUAUGGCAAGACAUCGCUUGUUUAUCAAGUUAAAAUUUAUUAGAAAUGUGUGUUUGUCUUGCAGAACACUCGCAGACCAAGUUACUCGAGAGCCAAGGUUUUACUGUGUAUUAAAUAGGUCUCCCUCCCCUUCCAGAAUGUAAGCUCCACGAGAGCAGAUUUUUCCGGUCUGUUCUGUUUACUGACAUGUUCCCUGUGCCUGAAACAGAGCCUUGUACAUAUUGGUUGAAUGAAUUCAAGAUAAUAAGAAUAACAGCUAACAUUUAUUUUGUGCCUACUUUGCCCCUGGAACUGUUCUAAGUACUUUGCAUAAGUUCAUUUACAAAAGUUCAUUUACGUAUCCUCAUCCUCAUAUCACCUCUGUGAGGCACAGAGCAGGCACAGAGAGGCUAAGUAACUUGCCCAAGGUCACGCAGCCAGCGGGCAAGAGUUAUGCUCUGGUUGGCCUGAGUUCCUGGUGGAGGAUCUUUUACACGCUCCACAGGUGUCCAUCACCCUGGCAUCUGCUCCUCUUGUGUGGCCCAUUGGUGGCACCCCUCCCACUCCUCUGUCACGCUGGAUUGUGAAUGUUUGUUUACUGCUGACGUGGCCCCUUCGAGGGCAGGGGCCAACCUCCUUCACGUUUGUUUCCUCAGUGUUCUGUACGGUGGCCAGCCCAUCGCAGGGCCUUCUCUCCAUUCUCCCAGCUGGGGUUGGUUUGUACUAUGAGCCUGGGGGGUGGGACGCACAGGUAUGAUCACUCCCCACCCCCAUUUUACCACUGAGGAAACAGGCUCAGGGCAAUACAGUGAUUUGUUGCAGCAGGAAGAACAGACAGUAACCAGACUGCAGGCCACCUGCGUCAGUGCUUUCCUGGCCACCGCCCCCUGGGGUGGGGAUCCGCACUCUACAGCCCCACGGAUUCUGGCUGCUGCCCAAGGCUUUGGUGGGCACCUGUCUAACCACAUGUCAGAACUGGGCAAAGGCAAA